UCUAUUUUUGACAAUAGCACGCAGAGAGUUGUCGAGAGAUGUGGGUUCAGCCGCUUGCAGUGGUCAUGGCAGUCAAGCCGCGGAGCUCUCCUCACGGCGGCAGCCGCAGAGCUGCCUCUGUAGUUGCCCAGAAAUCCAAUAUUCCAUCUGUAGAUUCUGUGACUCAGCAACGGCCGAUACUCCCAAACUCCACUUCCAAAUCAACGACUCCAUCCUCCCAAAUGCAACCGCUGCUAUUUUCUUCUUCCUCUGCUAUUACUCCGUCCGUACGCACCGUCAAUGCUCUGCGGAUUCGACCCAUCGCCGAGUUGGGCCUCCUCUCUGUCCUCUUUGUCCUCUCCGCGGCUUUUGCGGCAGUUUUCUCCGUCGCCAUACUUUGCAUUCCUACGAUAAACGCUAUGAGAAGAUUGGCAGUUGCAGUGGGAAAACUAUCCAAUGUGGUGUCCCGGGAGGUGCCCGGAACGUUAUAUUCUCUCAAACUCUCCGGCGUUGAGAUCAACGACUUGGCCAAGCAGCUUGCUGCUCUCAGGAAAAGUACAAGGAAGAAGAGGAAUGAAGAAGAGUAAAGGAAGUACGGUGGAAGAAAUGAGCGAUGAGUGUGGAUGGAUUGACACACAUUAUGAAAGUUAAAAACCUUGUGUGAAAUGCUAGUCUACUGGGUUCAACUACAGCUUAAAAAACAAAUAGAAAAGGAAAAAAUAUUUACCUAUGUGAAUGAGCUGUGCGAGAAGCUUCCAAAUCCGCUAAAAAGGUCAUUCGUCAACUGUGAUAACAUUGCAUUCAUGCCGGAUAUUACAUUUACGAUCAGAAACAAAUCCUUCACCCUCUCUCCAGAACAGUACAUAAUUAAAGUAGAAGAAAAAUGCUCCACUGUCUGCCUUAGUGGAUUUACUGCUUUGGAUGUGCCUCCUCCACAAGGUCCUCUAUGGCUAUGAGAAGAUUGGCAGUUGCAGUGGGAAAACUAUCCAAUGCGGUGUCCCGGGAGGUGCCCAGAACGUUGUAUUCUCUCAAACUCUCCGGCGUUGAGAUCAACGACUUGGCCAAGCAGCUUGCUGCUCUCUGUACAUACUUAAAAGUAGAAGAAAAAUACUCCACUGUCUGCCUUAGUGGAUUUACUGCUUUGGAAGUGCCUCCUCCACAAGGUCCUCUAUGGCUAUGAGAAGAUUGGCAGUUGCAGUGGGAAAACUAUCCAAUGUGGUGUCCCAGGGGGUGCCCGGAACGUUGUAUUCUCUCAAACUCUCCAGCGUUGAGAUCAACGACUUGGCCUAGCAGCUUGCUGCUCUCAGGGAACAGAUUUCCACAACGGGUUUGGCAAGAAUUCAGAGUGACAAUUUGUUGUUUAAUCUCAAGUUGGUGUGUGUAUGUACGUGUGCUCUUGUAUUGAGUAUUUGCAAAUUUAAUAGAAGUUUCAAUUUUUUAA